AGAUUAAGUUAUUAAGGGCGCACGGUGGAUGCCUUGGCACUAGAAGCCGAUGAAGGACGUUACUAACGACGAUAUGCUUUGGGGAGCUGUAAGUAAGCUUUGAUCCAGAGAUUUCCGAAUGGGGAAACCCAGCAUGAGU
rnacentral:rRNA from 2 species